UACUACGGCCAUGCCACCCUGAAUGUGCCUGAUCUUGGAAGCUAAGCAGGGUCAAGCCUGGUUAGUGCUUGGAUGGGAGACCACCUAGGAAUACUGGUGCUGUAGGUG
rnacentral:rRNA from 1 species